GCAUAUCUCAGAAGCCCUACCUUCUUCCUGCAAGAAACCCGUCUCCUUCCCUUCAAAUCGCGGGAUUCUCGUUCUCCAAAUUCACAUACGUCUCUCUCUAGACCGUCAAUCUGGUGGGCCGAACCCUCGGUCGGCCUCAGUUCAAGAGAUCACAAAGGCAUCGGGGUUUUUCAUCUCUGUUUGAUGCCAAAAUGACCACCCUCUGCAAGCAACCCCACUCCCCGGCUCUUUCAAACUUCAAUCCCAGCCAUUCAAUCCUUCCCCGCACUCGCUUCAUAACUGUCCGAUGCAACCACACUCCAUCCCAGUUAUCAUUUGAACCCUCACCGGUUUCCACAUUAAUCAAAUCUUUCGCCCCUGCCACGAUCGCUAAUCUCGGCCCUGGUUUUGACUUCCUUGGUUGCGCUGUUGAUGGCAUUGGCGAUACCGUCACCCUUCGCAUCGAUCCAAUGGUCCAUCCCGGCUCCCUCUCCAUAUCCUCCAUCCACAGUGCCGACAUUGCCACCUCGAAGAAGCUCAGCUGUGAUCCUCGCUGGAAUUGUGCGGGGAUCGCCGGCAUGGCUGUCAUGCGCAUGAUUGGCAUCCGCUCAGUGGGCCUCUCCAUGACCCUUGAGAAGGGCUUACCGCUCGGCAGCGGACUCGGGUCCAGUGCUGCCAGUGCUGCCGCUGCAGCGGUUGCCAUGAAUGAGAUCUUUGGCAGGCCUCUGUCCAUCAGGGACCUCAUCCUCGCUGGGCUUGAAUCGGAGGCAAAGGUCAGCGGCCACCACGCUGACAACAUCGCCCCGGCGAUCAUGGGCGGGUUCGUGUUGGUCCGCAGUUACGAGCCACUCGAUUUAAUGCCGCUACAGUUCCCGGCUGGCACGGAGCUGUUCUUUGUUCUUGUCAGCCCAAAAUUUGAGGCGCCCACGAAGAAGAUGCGGGCGGUGCUGCCGAAGGAGGUCGGGAUGAAGAUGCAUGUGGCGAAUUGCAGCCAGGCUGCUGCACUGGUGGCCGCUGUGCUUCAGGGGGAUGGGAGGCUAUUGGGCUCGGCACUUUCAUCAGAUGGGAUUGUGGAGCCAAGCAGGAUUCCAUUAAUUCCGGGGAUGGCAGCUGUGAAGAGGGCAGCAUUGGAAGCCGGGGCAUUCGGAUGCACAAUAAGUGGGGCAGGGCCCACUGCAGUCGCAGUGACGGACAAUGAGGAGAAGGGGAGAGUUAUCGGGGCACGGAUGGUUAAGGCCUUCUUGGAGGAAGGGAAAUUGCAGGCGUCGGCGACGAUCCAGAGGCUUGAUCGGGUCGGUGCAAGGGUUGUUUCCAGCAGCAGCACAAGUUGAGAACAAUGCAGGUUAUUGGAAAGCCUUAGUUUAACUUUGCAAAAUUCUUCAAUUUAAGCGUAGCAAGAUUUCUGGUAAUGCCUUCAGGACCAGAUAUAACAUACGCUAUUCGUGUGAUGAGUGGACUCACAAAGUCAUCGAGGUAUUGAAAAUUGGCGUGCAAUCAACAGAAUUAUGAAAUAUCUAAAGAGAAUAAAGACAUUGGUUUGUUCUCCAGAGGUCAUUCUUCACUCUUAGAAGGGUAUAGUGGUGUAGUUGUUCGAACAACGUAAAUGACAAAUAAUAGACUAGUGGGUAGAUAUUCACGUGGUAGUGGUGUUAUUUCUUGGGCAAGCAAGAAGAGGAUUGCAUAUCACAAUCCACGAAUCUAAAUAUAUUGCCUUUUGUUUGGUACGCAUGGAGGCCGAAUGGUUGAAAUAAUUUUGAAUGAUUUUCCCAUUUCAAACCUAGUUGCUCUAUUAAAAUAUAUUUUGACAA